AUUGAAGAGGCAGGACUUCUCUGAUCAGAAGAGAGGCGUGACUUUUGACAGAGAGAGAGAGAGAGAGAGAGAGAGAGAAAUCAAGGCCUUGGAUCUUUGAUCUCCAUCGAUUCUUUGGUUGUAUCAUCUGGAAAUUCUUGUUCCACACUUGAUUUGAGCAUUUAUCUGUAAUAUCGUUUGAAUCCCUCUUAUCUAAGUCGAUCUAGGACUCAAGGAUAAGCAAGCAGCGUUGGAUCUGGAUCGUUAGCAACAGUGAGUAGAAGCAAGCUCAACGAUGUAGAGAUGUAGAUCUUAUUCUCAGAUCUGCACUCUAUUCGAUCAGAUCUGCUCUCUCUGUCUCUCCGAUCUGCUAUUAUGAUUAUUUAUGAAAAGUCUUUGAUUAAAAAGUAUCAAAGAGAAAUAUCAAGCCUCAAACUAGAACUUGAUCACUGGCUACAUUCAGACUUACAGUUUUUGAAGAGCCAAAUUGAGGGGUUGUGAUACAAGUAGGAAGAAAGCUUUUACAGGUAAGCAGUAGUUUAUUGCAAGAAACUGGGAGCACAGGGAGCACUAAAAUUGGGACCAUCCUUGGUUGGGGAAUGGCAGCCAUCUACAUGAGCGGGCGGCUUCCACAAAUUUGUUGAAAUAUUAGAAGGGGCAAUGUUGAAGUAAGCAUUUCCUCCUUUGAUGUUCAGUACAUAAAUAUUUAUAUAGUAAUUCAAAUGAGUGGAAAAAUAGGCCAAUUGCUUUGUGUAAUUGUAAAAACUCUAGAGGUUUAAGUCUAAAUGGAGCCACUUGACAGUUGAAUUAUUAAAUUGCUUUGUGAAUUGUUUUGCGGUUCUCUUUUUUGGGUUUUGAAAGAUGGUAUUGAAGAUAGUAGAUCUUUUGAAGAAUGAAAUUCCAUUUGAAGAAGGAUCAAUAGUUUUAUCUGAAGAUGUCAAGACUGGUUUAGUUCUACUCAACAUCAUCAAUGGCUUCUGCACCAUUGGGCCUGGAAAUCUGGCACCCACAGAGCCCAAUAGUCAAAUCAAUGAAAUGAUUGAUGAAUCGGCAAGACUGGCGAAAGUGUUUUGCAACAAGAAAUGGCCAGUUCUUGCAUUUCUUAAUUCCCACUAUCCUGGAAAACUCGAACAUCCCUAUCCUCCUCAUUGCAACAUUGGCACUAAUGAAUCUAAUUUGGUUCCUGGUAUAAGUGCACUCUGUUUUCUCUGUUUUUUUAAUCUAUGCAUUCUAUAAUUCAAUUCUCAGGCUCUCUCUCUC